GGUUUUUGUUGGGCGGGUCUUGUUUUGUUUAUUACCCUAUCGGGUUUACACUAUCGGGCUUCGGGUACCCGAUGGUUUUUUUUUUUAAAAAAAAAUUAACCGAAACGACGUCGUUUUACAUUAUAUUUUACCCCAAAUUUUUGUUUCUCCCGUAACCACAGCCACAAAACACAGAUCUAGAAAUUAGACAUGCUUUCUUGCGACGAUUCAUUCUAGAUUGGGUUCAUUGGCCCCAACGAAAGGAGUCAAAGUGUUACCAGAAGAAGUCCGUACGUGAUUACCUUCCUCUUCGUUCUCUCUAUAAAAUGAUGGAUUCACAAACACUUGACACACUAGCAGCUCUUGAGGCUGCAAAUGAGCAAAUGGAGGUUGAUGAUGAUGAUGAAGCAGAAACUCAAGGACAAGCACAAAGUGAAACUCAACCUGUUCAAGCAACUGAAACUGUGAGUCAUUCUAAACGCGCAAAGUCUCUUGUUUGGAACCAUUUCGUAGUAGUAGGAGUAGAGGCAGAUGGAAAAAGAAGGAGUCGUUGCAUUCAUUGUAAUAAGAAGUUAGUAUCAAAGCAUUUGCUGUUGGUCUUCUGGAAAAUAUCCGAGAGAGUAUUAAGUUUGUCAAAGCAUCUGGAUCAAGGAUAGAAGCAUUUGCAGCAUGUGUUCAGAGUGUAGGGAUUAGGAGUGGAGCUGGAUUGUCUCUAGAUGUACCAACCAGAUGGAAUUCAACUUAUGAUAUGCUUGCUAGAGCUCUGAAGUUUCGUGACGCAUUCACUAGUUUGAAAGAGUGUGACA